GUACCGUGUGAGGAUUAAGUGGACGCUGCAAAUUUUUGCUUUAUUUACCAAAAUAAUUGGUGAAAUCCUAAUAAACUUCGACGCUGAUCCUGCAUACUUCAAUCACCCACGUAUUACCAACAAUCCAAUUUAUCAAUUACUGCUUGACAGUACUGACGGGAAGACUAUCAUAGCUGCAUACAGGAACGAUGGAAGUCUAUCGAAAAAUACUCGAUGUUUGCUGACUCGCCUGGUCAUCGCACAGGAGAAAGAUCGACAGUUCAGGGACGUUUUUCGACAAGAAGGAAUUACCUACUUGAGACAAUUCAAGAUAACGUCUGCUAAGUUCACCACUUGGGCCACACAGAUUGCAGAAGUGUUCAUUGGUGAAAGCGUUUUCGUCUAUUAUACUCCA